AUACAGAUGCGGCGCCCCUCCCGGACCGGGCCCGCAGCGCCCGGCAGGGCACUCGGGCGGGAGGACGUCCAGGCCACGGCGCCAGGCCAUUUCCGAAGAGCUGGCGGGGCGGGUGCACCCGGGAGCGCGAAGCUGCCAGUCCCCGCCCGCAGCGGAAAACGGGCGAGCGCGCGGUGAGGUGGGGAAUUCGGAGCCCACUGCGGAGAGACCCGGCUCCGGGCUCCCGGUUCCCGGCUGGCUUUUGGGACUGGUGUGGAUGGAAUCCCAGCUGCAAGGCGGCGGCGUUUUGAGAGCCCAUGCAAAGCACGGUAGCAGACCACAUCAUUUAAUAAUAAAAAAAAUAAAAAUAAAAAUUGAACAAA
rnacentral:lncRNA from 1 species